rnacentral:rRNA from 1 species
UGGGGAAUAUUGCACAAUGGAGGAAACUACUGAUGCAGCGACGCCGCGUGAGUGAAGAAGUAAUUCGUUAUGUAAAGCUCUAUCAGCAGGGAAGAUAAUGACGGUACCUGACUAAGAAGCACCGGCUAAAUACGUGCCAGCAGCCGCGGUAAUACGUAUGGUGCAAGCGUUAUCCGGAUUUACUGGGUGUAAAGGGUGCGUAGGUGGCAAGGCAAGUCUGAAGUGAAAAUCCGGGGCCCAACCCCGGAACUGCUUUGGAAACUGUUUAGCUGGAGUACAGGAGAGGUAAGUGGAAUUCCUAGUGUAGCGGUGAAAUGCGUAGAUAU